rnacentral:rRNA from 2 species
AGCAGCCGCGGUAAUUCCAGCUCCAAUAGCGUAUAUUAAAGUUGUUGCAGUUAAAAAGCUCGUAGUUGAAUUUCGGGAUCGACGGGUCGGUCGCGCCUCUGGUGUGUACUGGCCCUGUCGGUUUCUCCCUUCUGACGAACCACGAUGUCAUUAAUUUGGUGUCGUGGGGAAUCAGGACUGUUACUUUGAAAAAAUUAGAGUGUUUAAAGCAAGCAUUCGCUUGAAUACAUUAGCAUGGAAUAAUGAAAUAGGACGUUUGAUCUUAUUUUGUUGGUUUCUAAGAUCGACGUAAUGAUUAAUAGGGAUAGUUGGGGGCAUUAGUAUUCAAUUGUCAGAGGUGAAAUUCUUGGAUUUAUUGAAGACUAACUACUGCGAAAGCAUUUGCCAAGGAUGUUUUCAUUAAUCAAGAACGAAAGUUAGGGGAUCGAAGACGAUCAGAUACCGUCGUAG